UACGUAGGGCGCAAGCGUUGUCCGGAAUCAUUGGGCGUAAAGGGCGCGUAGGUGGCCCGGUCAGCGUGCGGUGAAAGCUCGGGGCUCAACCCCGAGUCGGCCGUGCGAACUGCUGGGCUGGAGCACUGUAGAGGCAGGCGGAAUUCCCAGUGUAGCGGUGAAAUGCGUAGAUAUUGGGAAGAACACCUGAGGCGAAGGCGGGUUGCUGGGCUGAUACUGACGCUGAGGCGCGAAAGCCAGGGGAGCAAACGGG
rnacentral:rRNA from 1 species